UACAUCUUGGUGUAUGGUGCACACUAGCUUUUGAUGCUUGGUAGUGAUAGUUUGAUUCUGUUGGAUGUAA
rnacentral:tRNA from 1 species